GAGAGAGAGAGAGACUGGAAGGGCGGGGAAAGAGCCAGAGAGGCUGGCUGGGAGCGAGCAACAACGAGGCCAUGGUGUGUGGAUCGAUAAAUCUACAAAAUGGAGCUCAGGUCAGAUAGAGGAAUUUUUCUACAAGCCUGAAAGAAGUCUAUAGCUUUAAGAAAAAAUGCCAUCUGAGCUCUCAGGCACCAUUUUGGAGUUUCCAGGUCUUGCCAGGAGAUAGCCAUUAAGCAACUGAUCCCAGCAGCGGAGCCCAGUGCACAACUCUGCCAGACUUUUCCCAGGAGGAGGAAAGACAAGGAAACAGAUAAAGAUGUAGAGGAACCCAAAGCAUCUUACAUUGUUCUCCCUCAUUGCACAUUAUGCUCAUAUCAACAGAUAGGAAGGCGCUCCAAAGGGUGAUCACUACUGCACAGAGGAUUAUCGACUGCCCUCUCCCCUCCUUGGAAGAACUCUAUAAUUCCCGAAGCCUAAAGAAAGCCCAAAAUAUUCUGAGAGACCCGUCUCAUCCAGCACUCUCUCUUUUUGAACUGUUACCAUCUGGCAGACGAUAGGCUAUGCUGAACUUCCGUGGCUGCGUGUUGAUGUGUUUGGGGCUGUGUAAGGAUUGGUGGAGGAAGGGGAAAGUGAGGAUGGGGUAUGAGUCUGAAAUUGCAUUGUGCGUGCACAAUGACAAUAAAAAUGCUUAUGCUUAUGCUUAA